AUUGGUACUCUAACAACGGCACUGACCUUUCCAUAGUAAUUAGUAAGUGCUAUUUGUUGGGGUAGUUUGA
rfam:Astyanax mexicanus Tnplaced_Scaffold2887, whole genome shotgun sequence.